AGAGUUUGAUCAUGGCUCAGGAUGAACGCUAGCGGCAGGCUUAACACAUGCAAGUCGAGGGGUAUAGUAGCAAUACUAGAGACCGGCGCACGGGUGCGUAACGCGUAUGCAAUCUACCUUUUGCAGCGGGAUAGCCCAGAGAAAUUUGGAUUAAUACCGCAUAGUAUAGUACUUUGGCAUCAAGGCACUAUUAAAGUCACAACGGCAAAAGAUGAGCAUGCGUCCCAUUAGCUAGUUGGUAUGGUAACGGCAUACCAAGGCGACGAUGGGUAGGGGUCCUGAGAGGGAGAUCCCCCACACUGGUACUGAGACACGGACCAGACUCCUACGGGAGGCAGCAGUGAGGAAUAUUGGACAAUGGGCGCAAGCCUGAUCCAGCCAUGCCGCGUGCAGGAAGACGGUCCUAUGGAUUGUAAACUGCUUUUGUACAGGAAGAAACCCCCCGACGUGUCGGGGCUUGACGGUACUGUAAGAAUAAGGAUCGGCUAACUCCGUGCCAGCAGCCGCGGUAAUACGGAGGAUCCAAGCGUUAUCCGGAAUCAUUGGGUUUAAAGGGUCCGUAGGCGGCUUUAUAAGUCAGUGGUGAAAUCUCCCCGCUCAACGGGGAAACGGCCAUUGAUACUGUAAGGCUUGACUUAUUAGGAAGUAACUAGAAUAUGUAGUGUAGCGGUGAAAUGCUUAGAGAUUACAUGGAAUACCAAUUGCGAAGGCAGGUUACUACUAAUGGAUUGACGCUGAUGGACGAAAGCGUGGGUAGCGAACAGGAUUAGAUACCCUGGUAGUCC
rnacentral:rRNA from 1 species